UACGUAGGGGGGCAAGCGUUGUCCGGAUUUAUUGGGCGUAAAGAGCUCGUAGGCGGCUUGUCGCGUCGUCCGUGAAAACCCACAGCUCAACUGUGAGCUUGCGGUCGAUACGGGCAGGCUAGAGUUCGGUAGGGGAGACUGGAAUUCCUGGUGUAGCGGUGAAAUGCGCAGAUAUCAGGAGGAACACCGGUGGCGAAGGCGGGUCUCUGGGCCGAUACUGACGCUGAGGAGCGAAAGCGUGGGGGAGCGAACAGG
rnacentral:rRNA from 1 species